AGUGAACCAGUACCGUGAGGGAAAGGCGAAAAGAACCCCGGCGAGGGGAGUGAAAAAGAACCUGAAACCGUGUACGUACAAGCAGUGGGAGCCUCUUAAUGGGGUGACUGCGUACCUUUUGUAUAAUGGGUCAGCGACUUAUAUUCUGUAGCAAGGUUAACCGAAUAGGGGAGCCGAAGGGAAACCGAGUCUUAACUGGGCGUUAAGUUGCAGGGUAUAGACCCGAAACCCGGUGAUCUAGCCAUGGGCAGGUUGAAGGUUGGGUAACACUAACUGGAGGACCGAACCGACUAAUGUUGAAAAAUUAGCGGAUGACUUGUGGCUGGGGGUGAAAGGCCAAUCAAACCGGGAGAUAGCUGGUUCUCCCCGAAAGCUAUUUAGGUAGCGCCUCGUGAAUUCAUCUCCGGGGGUAGAGCACUGUUUCGGCAAGGGGGUCAUCCCGACUUACCAACCCGAUGCAAACUGCGAAUACCGGAGAAUGUUAUCACGGGAGACACACGGCGGGUGCUAACGUCCGUCGUGAAGAGGGAAACAACCCAGACCGCCAGCUAAGGUCCCAAAGUCAUGGUUAAGUGGGAAACGAUGUGGGAAGGCCCAGACAGCCAGGAUGUUGGCUUAGAAGCAGCCAUCAUUUAAAGAAAGCGUAAUAGCUCACUGGUCGAGUCGGCCUGCGCGGAAGAUGUAACGGGGCUAAACCAUGCACCGAAGCUGCGGCAGCGACACUAUGUGUUGUUGGGUAGGGGAGCGUUCUGUAAGCCUGUGAAGGUGGCCUGUGAGGGUUGCUGGAGGUAUCAGAAGUGCGAAUGCUGACAUAAGUAACGAUAAAGCGGGUGAAAAGCCCGCUCGCCGGAAGACCAAGGGUUCCUGUCCAACGUUAAUCGGGGCAGGGUGAGUCGACCCCUAAGGCGAGGCCGAAAGGCGUAGUCGAUGGGAAACAGGUUAAUAUUCCUGUACUUGGUGUUACUGCGAAGGGGGGACGGAGAAGGCUAUGUUGGCCGGGCGACGGUUGUCCCGGUUUAAGCGUGUAGGCUGGUUUUCCAGGCAAAUCCGGAAAAUCAAGGCUGAGGCGUGAUGACGAGGCACUACGGUGCUGAAGCGACAAAUGCCCUGCUUCCAGGAAAAGCCUCUAAGCAUCAGGUAACAUCAAAUCGUACCCCAAACCGACACAGGUGGUCAGGUAGAGAAUACCAAGGCGCUUGAGAGAACUCGGGUGAAGGAACUAGGCAAAAUGGUGCCGUAACUUCGGGAGAAGGCACGCUGAUAUGUAGGUGAAGCGACUUGCUCGUGGAGCUGAAAUCAGUCGAAGAUACCAGCUGGCUGCAACUGUUUAUUAAAAACACAGCACUGUGCAAACACGAAAGUGGACGUAUACGGUGUGACGCCUGCCCGGUGCCGGAAGGUUAAUUGAUGGGGUUAGCGGUAACGCGAAGCUCUUGAUCGAAGCCCCGGUAAACGGCGGCCGUAACUAUAACGGUCCUAAGGUAGCGAAAUUCCUUGUCGGGUAAGUUCCGACCUGCACGAAUGGCGUAAUGAUGGCCAGGCUGUCUCCACCCGAGACUCAGUGAAAUUGAACUCGCUGUGAAGAUGCAGUGUACCCGCGGCAAGACGGAAAGACCCCGUGAACCUUUACUAUAGCUUGACACUGAACAUUGAGCCUUGAUGUGUAGGAUAGGUGGGAGGCUUUGAAGUGUGGACGCCAGUCUGCAUGGAGCCGACCUUGAAAUACCACCCUUUAAUGUUUGAUGUUCUAACGUGGGCCCCUUACCGGGGUUGCGGACAGUGUCUGGUGGGUAGUUUGACUGGGGCGGUCUCCUCCUAAAGAGUAACGGAGGAGCACGAAGGUUGGCUAAUCCUGGUCGGACAUCAGGAGGUUAGUGCAAUGGCAUAAGCCAGCUUGACUGCGAGCGUGACGGCGCGAGCAGGUGCGAAAGCAGGUCAUAGUGAUCCGGUGGUUCUGAAUGGAAGGGCCAUCGCUCAACGGAUAAAAGGUACUCCGGGGA
rnacentral:rRNA from 1 species